CGACGAGUUUGAUCCUGGCUCAGAUUGAACGCUGGCGGAAUGCUUUACACAUGCAAGUCGAACGGUAGAGGGGGCAACCCCUCGAGAGUGGCGAACGGGUGAGUAAUAUAUCGGAACGUGCCCAGUCGUGGGGGAUAACGUAGCGAAAGUUACGCUAAUACCGCAUACGAUCUAAGGAUGUAAAGCGGGGGAUCGCAAGACCUCGCGCGACUGGAGCGGCCGAUAUCAGAUUA
rnacentral:rRNA from 1 species